UACGGGGGGGGCAAGCGUUGUUCGGAAUUACUGGGCGUAAAGGGCUCGUAGGCGGCCAACUAAGUCACACGUGAAAUCCCUCGGCUCAACCGGGGAACUGCGUGUGAGACUGGAUGGCUUGAGUUUGGGAGAGGAAUGCGGAAUUCCAGGUGUAGCGGUGAAAUGCGUAGAUAUCCGGAGGAACACCGGUGGCGAAGGCGGCUUCCUGGACCGAUCACUGACGCUGAGGCGCGAAAGCUAGGGGAGCAAACGGG
rnacentral:rRNA from 1 species